AGGAGCUUGCUCCUCUGACGUUAGCGGCGGACGGGUGAGUAACACGUGGAUAACCUACCUAUAAGACUGGGAUAACUUCGGGAAACCGGAGCUAAUACCGGAUAAUAUAUUGAACCGCAUGGUUCAAUAGUGAAAGACGGUUUUGCUGUCACUUAUAGAUGGAUCCGCGCCGCAUUAGCUAGUUGGUAAGGUAACGGCUUACCAAGGCAACGAUGCGUAGCCGACCUGAGAGGGUGAUCGGCCACACUGGAACUGAGACACGGUCCAGACUCCUACGGGAGGCAGCAGUAGGGAAUCUUCCGCAAUGGGCGAAAGCCUGACGGAGCAACGCCGCGUGAGUGAUGAAGGUCUUCGGAUCGUAAAACUCUGUUAUUAGGGAAGAACAAAUGUGUAAGUAACUAUGCACGUCUUGACGGUACCUAAUCAGAAAGCCACGGCUAACUAC
rnacentral:rRNA from 1 species